UAUCAAGUGUGAAAGCAUGAAAACCAUUAAACUUAUCAUAUAUUGUUGCAUCUAUGUUCUCCCAGUUUGCUCAACUCAUCAACGAACAACCAUGGUAGCAGAAGCAAUCACUGACUAUCGUGAUUUCCUCAUCAAUUUAACGGAAAGCAGCGUACCUCUUCGCAUACUUGAACACACCAUUACACCGCACAUCAUUGGCUCCAAUCAGCUAAAGCUCACCGGCCGUUAUGUUUUCCUUGCACCAACCGAGAACAACCUUUACUUCGUUGGAUUUGAGAACGUGAUAAACGCAGCCGAUGCCAUCGACAUCAUAAGUGAUUUGAUUCUGACAAGAUCUGUUACGAGUAUCUACAUGAUAAAACGAAAGAAUGAAUCAAAUAUUUGUAAUUAGUUUGAA